rnacentral:rRNA from 1 species
GGUCUUGGUCUCCACCUCAC